UGUUUCAUGAUAAGAAUAUCAUGUCUUUUGUAUUAAAGAAUUAAAUGGAUGAAAUAUGAAGUUUUAUUAAAAGAAAAAGGGGUGAAAAGAACAAAGUUUUGUCCAUCUUUGUUCAUCAUAGCUGAAAGUUAAAGAAGAGAAAGGAGAGGAGAAAGCUCUUGAGUAUUCGGUCAUUAGAAGGAGGAAAAUUGAAGGUGGUUCGUGUGUGGAUCUCACAAGAUAUCGUCGCAAAAUGUGUGUAACUAACACCCUCUUUCUUAGUCUAGAUCAAAAAAGUCGAAAAGCGAAAUGCCGAAAACCGGUAUUUUGUAGAUUUUCGAGUGUGCGAAUGCUCGUGAGGUAAAUCGAUUAAUGUUUUUGGUAAGCUGCAAUGUUUGGACUGCAAAGUGCAUGAUUUCUGUGCCCUCGAUAUUUUUGGGCUUAAUGGGCCAAAAUUGGAAUGAUGGGCCAACGGGCCCAAUUCGGUAAGAACCCUCGGAAAUCCCCAACCAUAGUGGGCUUGGAGCUGUGAGGGAAUUCGGAGUGGCCACCCGUUCUGAAAGUUUGAUUUUCUUCUGGUGAACUUGACAUCUUUUUAUUUACGUUUGAAUUUUUUGGGCUUUUAAAUGUAAUAAGGCCGCUUAAUUAUUUUUGAUGGUUUUAAUAUGUAUUACUAAGAUAGGUAAUACUUAUUUUAACUGUUGAAAUUGGAUAGCUUUAGGGCGCGUUUUCAAAAACAACAAUUGAUUUCAAAAUAACACGACAACAAGUAAAGCUUCCGCAAUGAAAGUAUUUUCCAAAA